rnacentral:rRNA from 1 species
UACGUAGGCAGCAAGCGUUGUUCGGAAUUACUGGGCGUAAAGAGUGUGUAGGCGGUUUGGUAAGUCUUAUGUGAAAUCUACAGGCUCAACUUGUAGUCUGCAUGAGAAACUGCCGGGCUUGAGUAUGGGAGAGGUGAGUGGAAUUCCUGGUGUAGCGGUGAAAUGCGUAGAUAUCAGGAGGAACACCUGUGGCGAAAGCGGCUCACUGGACCAUAACUGACGCUGAUGCACGAAAGCUAGGGGAGCAAACAGG